rnacentral:rRNA from 1 species
UGGUGCCUACGGGAGGCAGCAGUGGGGGAUAUUGGACAAUGGGGGAAACCCUGAUCCAGCGACGCCGCGUGAGUGAAGAAGUAUUUCGGUAUGUAAAGCUCUGUCAGCAGGGAAGAAAGAAAUGACGGUACCUGACCAAGAAGCCCCGGCUAACUACGUGCCAGCAGCCGCGGUAAUACGUAGGGGGCAAGCGUUAUCCGGAAUUACUGGGUGUAAAGGGAGCGUAGACGGUGAUGCAAGUCUGGAGUGAAAGGCGGGGGCUCAACCCCCGGACUGCUCUGGAAACUGUACGGCUGGAGUGCAGG